rnacentral:rRNA from 1 species
GAUUUCUGGUUUGAUGUACCUGUCCCGCUGCGGUAACGCAUGUGAGUGACGGAGUAUGUCUGCCAUCCUUCUAGAGAACACAAGCUAUCCUUUACUGGACCGGUUUGUGUCAUCUAGAUCUUUUACUUUGAAAAAAUUAGAGUGUUUCAAGCAGGCUUUAUGCUAUGAAUACAUUAGCAUGGAAUAAUAAUUUAGGACUUCGGUUCUAUUUUGUUGGUUUCUAGGACUGAAGUAAUGAUUGAUAGGGAUAGUUGGGGGUGCUAGUAUUCAGCGGCCAGAGGUGAAAUUCUCGGAUUCGCUGAAGACUAACUUAUGCGAAAGCAUU